rnacentral:lncRNA from 1 species
UCCGUUCGGGCAGCGAUGCCGGAUCGCGCUGGCGGAGAAGGCGGUGGAGUACGAGUACAGCGAGCAGAAUCUUGCCGACAAGAGCCCGCUGCUGCUGAAGGUGAACCCCAUCCACAAGAAGAUCCCGGUGCUCAUCCACGACGGCAAACCCGUCUGUGAGUCCCUCAUCAUCGUCCAGUACAUCGACGAGGUCUGGACCAAAAACCCCCUCCUCCCCUCCGAUCCCUACGAACGCGCCAAGGCCCGCUUCUGGGCCGACUUCGUCGACAAGAAGGUAAUUGAUUAAUUAAUUAUUAUGCGUUCAAUUUUCUUGAUUUUAUUUUAUUUUUUCUUUUUUGGGCUCCAUCUUUCUUUUUUCUUUUGCUUCUUUAAAUGUUGAAGUUGGUGUUGGUGACGGGACCACUGGUCCCCUACCAUUGUGAUAUUCGUUGCGUCGUUUUAUGCCGACUGUUUACUCGUUGACGCCGGAUACAUCCAGAGAAGUUGUUCCUUCCCUUUUUUUAUUUUUCUAUUUUUUUUAUGUGUAGGCUAAUCUCUCUCUCUCUGUUUUUUUCCUUGUCAGGAAAAUAAUAAUAGACAUAUGAACACUUAAAUUAAAAAAAAUAUAUUUUUUUUAAAUAGAGUUUGGAAAUUGAAAGUGCAAAGGUGGUAAAUAUUUGGGUUGAUUUUAAAAUUGAUAGAUGAGGGAGGUUUCCUGAAUAUGGAUUUUGAUUUUGCCGAGUCAUCUUUUUAUCACCAACUGCUCAGCUCAAAUUUUACCCAAAAAAAAAACUGCUCAGUUCAAUUUAAGUUUAAUUAAAACAAAAAGAAGGAAAAAGUUGUCGAUGAGGAUUCGUUAAAAUGGAAAGUGAAAUUGAACCCGGGACUUGGAGACCACGAGGGCUCUCUCUACGAGGGUGAAGUUUGUCGUCAGACUAUUUGCUGAAAGUGUAAAGAAACGGAAUUCGAGAAAUUUUUUAUUUUUAAUAGCUGGGAGGCUAUUACUUGAAAUGGUGUCCACGUGACGUCUUCUGCUAUGGGAGGGCCCAUGCAGCUUAUCUGUGUAUAGAGAUUAUUUGCGUAUUUCGAACGCAUGACAUGCCAAAACAUUCUUGCCAUAUCUUUUCUUACCGGCCACAUAGUGACAGUUUCUAUUUUUCGCUUUUCUUUUCUCCUGUCCGAUGAAUGAUGCUAAGAAGACACACUGACGAGGUGUAUAAGAUUUGCUGUCCUUCUUUAGAAAUCAAUAUAUUUGUAUAAAAUCUUGACCAGUUUGGGUUUGUUCUGUCGUUAGGUCUAUGAAUGUGGGACAAAGCUGUGGAAGCUCAAGGGGGAGGCACAACAGGAGGCCAAGAAGGAAAUGAUUGAGAUAUUGAAGCUUUUGGAGGGUGAGCUGGGAGACAAGAAGUACUUUGGGGGAGAGAUUUUUGGCUUUGUGGAUGUAGCAUUGGUGCCCUUCACAGCCUGGUUCUACGCCUACGAGACCUGCGCCAACUUCAGCGUUGAGGCGGAGUGCCCUAAGCUGGUGGCCUGGAGCAAGGGGUGCAUGGAGAGGGAGAGCGUGGCCAAGUCCCUUCAUGAUCCCCAUAAGGUCUACGAGUUCGUAUGCUUCCUCAAGAAGAAGUUUGGAAUGGAGUAAAAGAAGGAAAAAAAAAAAAAACAAAGAAGAAGAAGAAAAACAUGGUAUAUGGAGGGAAGAGGAGAUGAAAGAGUCCAUGGUUUCAGCAGGAGCUCGUGUUUGCUUUGUGUGUGUGGUUUUUUUUUCCUUCUUUUGGGAUGUAGUAUGUGUUUGGAGGCUGGACGUGGGCAAUCCCUGUUGCCUCUGUCCACCGACUGUCCUGUUUUUUUUUUCCCUCCUUUUGAGAUGUAGUAUGUGUUUGGAGGCUGGACGUGGGCAAUCCCUGUUGCCUCUGUCCACCGACCGUCCUGUGGUCCUUCGCUUCUGAAUAAAGCACUCUGUUACACUGUUAUGUUUCAAUUUAAUCAAUGUCAUGAAUUGAUUGUUAACAGUGUUAAUCAGAAAGGUGUGGAAUAUCCCAGAGCCUUGGUCAUGGGCAGGUAAGCUACGCUUAUUUUGAUCUGAAGGGGAGGAGAUUGGAUAAGUCAGGAUAUGAAUAUCGCAUGCAGGUUGGGCUGUGAUCAAACGUGUUCCACGAAAUCAGGUGAAUAGUCUAGCUCGAACAACGAAGCAACCAUGCAUUGUUAACUGUAGAAACCUAUGAUGAAUGUAAAGGAAAUAUUUUACUUGCCCCUAGAUAAGAUUAUAUUCACUAAUCCAGUACAAUUGUAAAAGCAUAUUUUAACAUUGAAUAUGGUUAUUUGAGCAUUGAUCCUAUAUCUAUUUGGGAUCACAAGAGAAAGGAUGGAUAGUUUUUGUCAAUCAUUUGCUUCAAAAAAUUUUAAAAAAGAUAGAUGAAAGAAGGAAUUUUUCAUCCAUCCUAAUCUACUAAUUUGUAUCAAGACAUAAUGAAAGAUGGAUGGAGCAUGUAAAUAAUGAAUUAUAUAUUCAUAAAAUUAUCACUUAUUAAUUUUUUUGAUAAAACUUUCAUUUUUUAUUUUUUAUUUAUAUAUAUCUCUAUUUUAUUUAUAUUAUUAAUUCUAUAUAAUUAAUUUUUUUAUGUAUUUUAAUUUUUAAUACAUAAUUUUCAUAAUUAUAACUAAAUAAUUAGAAUUAUUUUUUAUUUUCUAUUUAUAGUUACCAUUUUUAGUAAACUAUUUCUAUUAAAUUAAUUGAUUAUUUAAAUAAAAUUAUAAAUUAAUUAUUUAUUUAUAUUAAUAUAUAAAUAAAUUAAUUUAUAUAUUUAACUUAUAAAAUUAUUUAUUUAGAUAGUUAAAUUAAAUUAAAAUAUUUAUAUAAUUUUUUUAUAGUUAUAAAUUAUAAAGAUUAUAAGUUUAUAUGUUACUGUACUUAUUUAGUGUAAAUAAAUAUUAUAAAUUAAUUGUGAUAAUUAGGGGUGUAAAUUGAUUGGAUUGGAUUGGAUUGGAUUAUACCUAAAUCCAACUUCAAUACAAAAUAUUUUGGACUUAAAAAUUUGACUCCAAAACUAAACCAAAUAUUCUAUUAGUCCAAUCCAAUCCAAUCAAAAAAGUUUGAAUUGGAUUGGACUGGAUUUUUAAACUUUUACAUAUAUUAGAUUGCAAUUUGGAUCAUAGUGCAAAAACAAGUUAUAUGAAUUCGAAAUAUAUAUUACUUAUAGGUACUCUAUAACAUUGCUCUAUAUCUAAUAACUAAUAUUAUAAUAGCAAUAGAUGAGAAAUAAAAAAUAUAAAUUUCAAUACUAAAGAUCUCAAUAAAUUGUGCUAUAAUAGCAUCAUGUCAAAAAUAUAAGUUCUAGAUUUUCAAAAAAAACUACAUCACUAAAAUAUAAUAAGUUCCAUAACAUUAAAAAGAAACUAAACUUGAAACACAAACACAUAUUAUAUAUACAUAUAUAUAUAUAUAUAUAUAUAUAUAUAUAUAUAUAUAUAUAUAUAUAUAUAGUAUAUUAUAUAUAUAUAUNNNNNNNNNNNNNNNNNNNNAUAUAUAUAUAUAUAUAUAUAUAUAUAUAUAUAUGUAUAUAUAUAUAUGUAUAUGUAUAUACGUAUAUAUGUAUAUAUAUAUGUAUAUGUGUGUGUGCGUGCGUGUGUGUCUAUAUACGUGUGUGUGUGUGUAUGCGCGUGCAUAUGUAAAAUCCAAACUAAAAGAAUGGAUCGGAUUUGGUUUAGAUUCAUAGUUUGGACUUUGGAUUGAAUUUAAAUUUUAUAAUAUUAAAUUUAAAUCUAAAUAUAAAAUUUAAAAUUUUUAAAAAUUGAUUUUAGAUCCAAAAUCAAAAUCCAAAAAUCUGAUCCAAUCCUCUAGUUUGAUUUGGAUCGGUUUGGAUUUUGGAUUUUUUUCAAUCUACUGAUAUCUCUAGUGAUAAUAAUUUUUAUUAAAAAAUAGUUUGAUAAAAUUAUCAUAUAAAUAUUAUUAUUAUUAUUAUUUUUUAUAUCAAAUAAGAGGAGAAAUUAUUUUUCACUAAAUAGAAGAGAGAAUAGGUAGAAAAUUCACUUUUGGAAUGAUCUUUCAUGUAAUCUCUUACUUCCGUGAUCACGAGGCGCACAUUAUUAUUAUUUUUUUUAUCAACUAGGCGGCAGGCACGAGUCAAGAACCCAACCCCAUGUUGAUUAUUUGGUGUUGGCUCGUGUCUGGCUAUCUGAGCCUCGUCAUUGGGAAAGUGUGAGAUUGUAUGGAAGGCUGGUCCAGAGGCCACGUGGGCCAUUUUUGACCGCCCAAGACUGUCCUAUCUGUCUCCUCUGACCCGCAUUGUUUGCCGCCCUCUCAGGUCCUAACUACAAUCAAGGCAAAAUAUGAUCAGGCCCGAAAAUUUUAUUCGAUUCGUUAUAAAUAAAUUUAAAUUAUAAAUAAAUAAAUUUAUUUAAUUUAUUUAAUAAUUAAAUUAAAUUUAAAUUUUAAAUAUUUAAUCCAUUUAAUUCGUUUAAUAUUCAGAUUGAAUUGUAUCAAGAUAAUUUAUUUAAUUUAUAUAAUCUAUUUUUAAUUUAUUUAAUUUAAUUUAUUUAAUUUAUUUAAAAUCUAUUUAAUUUAUUUAAAAUCUGUUUAAUUUAUUUUUGAUUUAUUUAACAUAAUUUAUUUAACUCAUUUAAUCUAUUUAAUCUGUUUAAUUUAAUUUAAUUUAUUUAAUAAAUAUAUUAAAUAGAUUAAAUCAAAUUAUUUAUUUAAUAAAUAAAUUAAAUUUAAAUUUAAAAUUUUAAUUUAUUUAAUAAAUAAAUUAAAUUUAAAUUGAUAAUUUUUUGAUCCACAAUAUAUCGAUGGAUUCAUUUACGAUCUAAUUCGAAUCGAUUGCCAUGAUACAUUCCCCUGCAAUCACGUCCGGCCCCUCUCUCUCCCUUUUGUCCUCCCUCUUUCCGCGGCGUGUCAUGAUACAUUCCCCUGCAAUCACGUCCGGCCUGACUUUCUGGUACGUCGUUGUUGUAUGAGCCGCGUAGCGGGUUUUGACCCAAACUUUGAAAAUAAGUUCUUGAUCGUGUCCCCAUUUGCAUCAAUAGCAUACUGUUCAUUUAAAUUAUGAAAAUAAUAUAAAAUUUUAAUUUAAUUAAAAAUAUCCUAGAUAGAAACAGGGAUGAUAAACAAUCAAUAGCUAGAUUAUUAAACAACUUAUCAUCUCGAUUAUAAUUUCUUUAUGGAUGACAUUGUCAACGGAUCUUCUGCACGAUCAAUUUAAAAUUAUUUUUUUAAAAAAAUUAAAAUAUAUAAAAUAAAAUAUAUAGUUAGCAUAUUUUACAUUAUCACAUUUAGUGAUUUUAUUGGCCGAGUACUCUGGCGAAAAAGAUUAUUUUGAACCUACAUUUUAGAAAUAGAUUCUUUUAGAAUUUGAGAUGGAGGUGCAAAUAGAGUACUUUCAUAUAAAUUAUGCGGCUUAGAUUCAUCUUUUCUGAACAUCCUAGUUACUUUAAAACUAAAGAUGUUAUUAUCAAAAUUUUUUAAAUCAAAUAUUAUCUGAAAAAUAUAGAGAUUGCUAAGAGUGUUUUUAAUAAUAGCUAGAAGAAUGAAUCUUUCACAUACUGCAUCUAUUGCAAGAUUCAAUACUAAAAUAUUAAUUAACUGUUUAGCUAAUUUUUUAAUUUUUAAAGUUUGUUAUAUCGAUACCAUCAUCAACAACGGUGUUCAAUUUAUGCUUGAUAAGAUUAGAUAUAUCAUAGUUACUUUUCAUUGGUUAAAAAAUUUAUUUGAUCUAUAAGAAAUAAAUUAGAAUAAUUAAAAAAAUAUUAUGAUUACAUCAUGGUAUCGGAGGUUGACUAUUCUUACUGCAUUGGUUACAAAAAAUUAUCACCAUAAGUUUUAUCACGAUUCUACAAUUAUAGUAUGAUUUGUGCCACUGAUCAUAAUAUGCAUCUAUUUCUUUUAGCUUUCUUUUAAAUUUGCUUUGCAUGUAAAUUCCAUUUCUUAAAAAGAGAGAAAACUAAAUUUUUGUGUCAAAGUGUACGGUAAUUUUAUAAUCAAACAUCAAGAAUAUACCUGAAAUUCAUACAGAUUUAAUUUCAAUAUUUUUUCAAUAAUUUUUUUAUUGGUAGUGGCUACGAUAGAUCAAUAAUAAUUUGUUACUCUUACUCCAUAAAUUUAAUCAGAGCAAUCAGUGCCUUCAUCCUAGAUAUAUGUUCCGAUCAAAAUAAAUAAUUCCAAUGUUUGUUAGACAUAAUGUGAUAAAUUUUUACAUGUCAAGCUGUGCUGGUAUUCUUUUGUUUGUAGCAUGGCCAUGUCCAUAUAAAAUCUUGAUUCCAAACACAUUGAUAAGCAUAUUUUUUAUAUAAAUGCAGAACAUGCAAAUUACUUUGAUGAUAAGAAUAUUGAUUCUUCUAUAAAAAAAAUAUUGUAUAGAAAAAAUUAACUUUAUAUAUUCUUAUAGUCAUAUGUAUCAAAAUAAUGAUAGCAGAGCCUUCUUUUUGUUCUUCAUGAAUCACAUUCUGAUCCAUUUUUGCAAGAAUUUAUGCAUAUAUAAUGAUAUUAUAUGGUUUAAAAAUAGGUAAGUAUAAUAAUUUGAUAAUAGUAUUUGCUUCUAGUAAUCAAAAAAGAAAUUAGGCUGAUGUAUAUUACUCUAGAUUUUCUACUUUUAGUAUUCGUUUAUAAACUAAUUUUGUCUAACAUACAUCUGUUCAAGAGAUCCAAAAGUUGUUACAUGACCAAUAACGUCUACCAAAUAAAUGCUUUAAUAUAACAAAAUAAUAUAUAAUUUUUUAAAAUUUAAAUUUCAAAAGGUAGUAGGUAAAAUAUAUGCAUACCUAUUAAAUAAAGAUCAUUAUAAUUUUUAGCCAAUAAUUCAUCAAAACUAAUAUAAUUAAUUUUUUGAAGAGGUAUGGUGCUCGUAUUGUUGGCAGCUUUCUAUACAACUAUUUAUCUAUUGAUAUAGAUAAUAUAUUAUUGAAUAAUAUUACUAAAACUUUUUUAUUAAAAGUGAUAUUAAAUUUUUCAAAAAAAUAUAAAUUUCCUUCGAUGAGGAUAUUCUUGAAUUACGUAGCAUGUUCUUUGUGAAUCAAUGCUUAAAUAGUACUUUCCUAUAUAACAUAAAUUUAGAUAAAAUAUAAAUAUAUAGAACAUGUAUAUAUAAAAAUUUUAAUAAAAAAAAUCUUCAUUCAUUAAGGCAUAAACAAUGCUCAAUAGUUGGUUAUUAGCAUUGGGAUUCAAAGUUUGAGUUUGAUUCUUUGGCUUCAUUUUUCAAAUGAUAAUUGUAAUAGUAAAUUGUACUCCUGUCACACCCCUAAUCCAACAUCUGGAUCAGAUAUGUAAUAGCCACACACUCUUCAGAGCAAAUUCUAAAAAUAUACAAGACUUACAAAAUUAAUUUCUUACAAUCUCAACAUCUCAUUAACACUAAUAUCGAUCUCAAUUUAUAAUAAAUUCCACAUUAACAAAUGUCAAAUCUUCUAUAAUUCACAAAACAUGAUCAUCUAGCAAUCAUUAAUGGUAUUCUAUCUAAUUGAUCCUUUCAAUCAUAAUUUCAACUAUAGCUAAAUGUAUGUAUCCUAUAACUCUGAAAAAAAAAAGAGUAGAAAGAGGGGUAGUGAGCUUUACAAUCUAGUAAGAAUUUUCGUAUAUCACAUUAAUAUAAUAAUAUAAUCUGAAAAUAAUAGUAUAAAAUAAAGUAUAAAAUUUCAUAUUCAAUAUCUAAAAUAAUGUAAACAUCCAUAUAAAUAUAUGUCAAAUAUCUAUCUUGUCAAAAAAGAUUUGUUAUCAUAUGUCAGCAAGUGAAAGUCUUUUAUUCAAUAUUAGUUUCAUAUCUUAUCAUUCAUUUCUCUUAUCACAUAUUCAAUUUUUUUAAUUUUUUCUUUCUGGCUUUGGACUAAUCAAAAUCAUAUCUCAAUCUUGGUCUGCCCAAAAUCCCAUGCGUAAGCCCAUGAGGAUUGUCCCAGUAUAAGCUCCUGAUGGAUUAUCUCAAGCAUAAGCUCCUGGUCAGUUGUCCCAUAUAUAAAAGCCCAUGGGGGCUGUCCUAAGCAAAAGCUCCCGACGGAUUGUCUCAAGCAUAAGCUCCUGAAGACUGUUCUAGGUAUAAAUUUCUGAUGGACUCUUCCAUGACAAGACUAGUUCAAACUAUAUCUUUUUCAUCCAUUUAUUUCAUAUUGAUUUCAUUAAAUCAAUUUUAAUUUACAGUGUGAUCAAAAUAAGUAUAUCAUUCUUAUGUCAUCUCAUUAUCAAUCACUGAUAAACAUUUAUAGUCAAAUAUAAUGUAUUCAUGCUAAAAAAUUAUAUAAAAAAUAAUAGUAUCUCAAACAUGAUAAAUCCAUCAACAAAACUUCAAUGAUACAAAACCAAUGAUAUAAAUCCAAUGAUAAAAGUAAUAUAUAUAAUGAUGAUCAUGUAUAGAAAUUUUUUAAUUAGUGAUAAACUGAACUCACUAGAUUAUGAUUUGGGUAUCAAAUCCUACUCGAUGUCCUCUUAUUUUCAUAGAUUGCUCUCUCAUAAAUUUCAAAUCAAUAUUAUAAAUAAAUCAAAUAAAUCAACUUAAAUACCUACAAACCUCUAUCAGGGUUCACGUGGGUCCACAUCCUAUCUUAAAAUUUUUUUCCUUCUAGAAUUUCCCCCAUCUAAAAAGAAAAUAAUUAAUUAAUUAAGUAACUGAUCAAUUAUUAAAAAGAAUUAUUUUAUUAAAAUAAACCAAAGAAGAGAGAGAGAAGAGCCUUCUCUUCUCCUCUUCUUCUCUUCAAAUAUGGGAUUUGCUCCUUAUUGUCCCUCUCCCAUGCACGGCCAUGGAAGACCGAGGCCUACCACCCAUUGUGGCUCCCAAUGAUGGUGAAGUCAUUGUUGGGUUAGGUGAUUUGCAGUAUGCAGAAUUUUUCAUCUCAUGAAAGUUUGCAGCAGAAGAGUAAGAUUGAAAUGAUUUUAAUCUAAUACAUGAUUGGAUCUAAUACUAUAAUCACUUAGAGAUCUUUCUAAGCAUGCUAUGGAAUAAAUAUUUCAUAUCUGAAAUGAAAUCAAAUAAAACAAAAGAAGAACCAGUGAUCAGAUCACCUACCUGAAAUGCUUUUCCUUCUUCUUCUCAGAUUGGAUCCGUCGAAUGUCUCGAAUUUUUGUAGUAGCCGCGAAACAUCCGACUUCUGCUAGUAUCCAUACGGAGAUAGUUUGAUCGAAGCAUCAAGGCCAUUGAAGUGCUAGCACCUUACAGGCCUCGCUCUUUGACUGGGAUCUGGAUUUCUCCUUCAAGAUAUAGAAAGAGAAGAUCUCUGUGCGAACUCUUUCGCACUAAAUCGAAGGAGAUGGCUUCUAAGAUGCCAAGAAGGGAUGAGAACCUUUCUCUUCUUUUUCUCUUUCUCUAAUCUCUCCUAGAUCAGAUCUAAUUUGAGAAAGAGGUGGGGUGUCAAGAGAAAGCAGGAAGGAAAGGGAGAAGGGGGCGUGGAGAUUAUUUCUUACGGCAAGGAAGGAACACCCUUAUUUUUUCACACGCCUUCAUGCACCCUUUUUAUUUAUUUAUUUUUUGUCACACAAAAUCACCCCAACGCCCCUUCCAGAUAAGGAUAGGAUUCUCUUCCUUAUUUGAAUCAAAUUUAAACAAGAAAGUAGAGUCCAAAAGGGGAGAGAGAGAUCGAGAGAGUAAGGGUGCCAACUAUUGGUGCUCCUCUCCUUUCACACACACAAAGGGCACACAUCUUCAUGCGUGCCCUCUCUCUUUCUAUGUGAAAGAAGAGAGAGAAGCCCAGUAAAAAAGGAUUUGGCUUCCUAAUUAAAUAAGAUUUGAAUUUAAUUUUGAUUCGAAUCUAAUUCGAAUCUAAUUCGAAUCAAAUUCAAAAAGCUGUCAAACCUAAUCUUAUUAGACUUUGAAUCCAAAUCCUACUUGAAUUAUAAAAUUUAAUUAAUCUCAAAUUCAAUCAACUAAUUAAACUAAAUCUGAUUUAAAUUAAUUAAGACUUGAUCUAUAAUUUAAUUAAGCUCAAUUAUAUUGUCACACUUGCAAUUAAAUCCCUUUGCUAAUAAUUAGCAGUUAUUAAAUAUAUAACCCUAAUAUAAUUAGCAGUUUCUUAAUUCAAACCAUCAAUUCAAUUAAUAAUUUGAUUAUGAUUCAAACUAUUGAUCAGAUCAAGUUUUUUUUUAUAUGUGACCCCUCAGAUUUAUUCUAUCUGGUAGUGAGACAUACUAUGAUCUCCAUUAUAGUAUCGUCGAAACUCUUUCCGAUAGACUGAAACAAUUUCAACUCACCCCAAUAAGGAUCGUUGAUCCAAAAAUGAUCCUAAUGAGUUCUCACAAUCCAUCAAUGAUGCCUAGCAGUAAGUAGUAACAAUCUAGUAGAACAAAAAGAUGAAUCCUUUGGUGUAGUUACCGUAUGAUCGAAUUUUUCUAUUGAGAGUUCUGACAGGAUGCAGAUCAUAGAAACUCAUCAAAUCCUAAGCAUCCAUUAUAUGCAAGACUUACUUAGUUUGAGUCCAAUCAUGUCCCAUGAAAGCUCCUUUUUAUUAUCACACUGCUGUAGCCACAAACUUAAGGACUCAGUCUCUUAGGUCGCAUAGAACUACUUCUUAACUACUAAAGUUGAUAGAUCUCCUAUAAGUAUACACCUUACUCCUACAGCGAACCUAUUGCAGCUAACGAUCAUUGCAAAAUUUUGAAUGGCUAGGGAUCAUAUUUAUAUAUUGUCAAACUACAGCAACCUUACUGUAAGCAGCCGAAGCUCUGUAGGUCUAAGAACUACUUACACAACUACAGCAUUGAGAUAGUCACUGACGAGUAAGUAGACAUCCAAGUAACUUCUCGUUGUUGGUCAUACUCAAUACCAUUAUUCUCUAACAAUCAUCUGUACUUUAGCUCUAGUGUUUCCACACUGUAGACUCAAGAUCCAUCUAUCUAAAGAGAAGCGAUUCGUGCAUCAAUCUUGAUGGAUCAAUCACCGUCCUCAUGAUGAUUCAACGAUCGAGAGUAAUUCAGAAGUUAAUCUCUAAUGAUACAUGUCUCAAAUUCUUAACUCUUGAGAAUAUGUGUCAUUGAUCAUUAACUCCUUGGACGAUUCUAGGACACAUUGCUCUAGAAUGAAAAUAAUUAUCUAUUUUAUCAAUUUCAAUAAAUCAAAUACAAAAAUAUGUCUUGAAAUUAAUACAAUGUAUCAGCAAAUAAUUGACUUUUCAGAUCAUACAUCCAACGGCCGCGGCCCCGACGACGGCCUCCAAUGGUGGCUGUUAUCGAUGACGAUAGGUGAAAUCAAGAAGAAAAUAGGAGCUGCACUGUUUAAAGGUAAAUCUGGUGAUUGCCAGCUCCAAUCUAUGCAUCAACAAUGAGGGGAUGAUCGAGAAAAGAAAGAAAAGGAGGAAAAGGAAGGAGUUAUUAUGGUCCAACAGAGCUAUAGGAGAUUUCUGGCGAUCUCUUCCCUAGCGGCACCCCGUGGAUAACCUCAAGAAAUCUUGACGAUUCACAAUGAUUUUUCAAGGAAUUUAAGGUGGAAAUCCAAGGGAGGGGGAAGGAGGCUUCUUAUAGAUGGGAUUCUAGGAUUUAAUCUAUGUUUUAAAGCCCCUAAGACAUCUUUUUCCAAUCACAAUCGGAGAAAAGAAAGACUCCCAUUGGGAAUCUUUCGUUCCUUGCCUUACUGCACCAUAUGUGAGGUUUAAAUAUUUUUUGAUCUUUUUGGAUAGGCUAUUACAUUCUUUCCUCUUAAAAUAAUUUCAUCAUUGAAAUUAGCAUACUCGAGUUUCGAACAUUGAAAAUACAUAAUCAUCAUAUUAUUCUUUACCUUCCAAAUCAUUUAUCAUACCUACUUCACAAUAUCUCGACAUAAAAAAAAAUGUGACAUCCCAAAACUCGAUUCUUUUUGUUUUAUUGUACCUAUAAAAUUCUCUUAGUCUCUUUCAAAAAAAUAUUAGUGUCUCGACCUUUGAUUCAAAUAUCAUAAUUGCUUGCUCUUAAAUUAAUUGCUUUGAUUUAUUUCACUCGAAAAACACUAUUGGCCCAAUCUACCCUUAAUAAAAGGCUUGAGUAUAGGUUGCCUUGUUUUUUCUCUUAGCAUCAUUCAUGUUCAUAAUUAGACUUUUAUUUUAGGAAAACCUCAAGCUUCUACAAUCAUAUAGAGUAAUAAUGUCGAACCAAAGAACGAUCAAUUCAUUAACUUUAAUACCCUAAUGCAAAUUGUAUAGCUAUAUCCAAAUUAGCCAAAUAUUUCAUUUUUCACUAUCAAUAAAUCUUUUUUUUGCUAACUCAAAUCUUCCAUUACAAUAACUUUUGAAUCAAAGAAAAUUAUUUGGAGUCAGUUCGAACCACCACACUUUCGCUGUAUACUCUGAUCUAAAUUUACUGAGUUCUGUAGAUUUAUCGAAUGAAUUUGAAUAAAAAUACUACUUUACAUCAGAACUCAAGAGAGAUUUAACCUUUCAAAUUUUUAAAUAGAAUUAGAGUAAAAUUUUGAGUUCCUUUAUUCUUACUAUGCUUCAAACAUAUCAUACCAAAAUUAAAUCUUGAUUUUAUUUCUAUAUUUAAAAUCAUUACAUAAGCUUCAUCACUCAUUUAGAAUCCAACAUAUCUAGAAUUAAUUUAAAGCAAAUCAUCUUCAAUAUAAAUAAUUUUGCGAUAAUAGAUCAUGAAUUUGCUUUACCAACCAACUAAAAUGGUGAAAGUGGAAUCCCCAAUCUUCUAAACAAACCACCUGAAACAACUAGAGAAUCCAAUAACUGUGUGAGUACUUAGGCUUACCGACCUUUCUCCAAGCAAAUCAAUUCAUCGCCACAUUCAUUCAUCAUCGUUAAACAGAAUUAUGAGGGCCUAUAGGUCAAAAUUCCACCAACCUAUCCAGAGUAUUUUUUAAUGAAAAAGAUCCGAGGUGCAAUUGGGAGUUAUGCUGAACGCGAUUUGAUGAGUGACAUUGCGAUGACUACAAUCCAAACCCAUUUUAGAUCCCUCAUCCGAGUUCGAAUUGUAUCCUUUCUAGAGAAGCAAGAUUCUUUCUUUGAUAAUUUCAACUAAUGAAUUAUAGAAUAUCUAUUUCAUGCAGACAUAUAAAAGAGUGAUUAAAAUAUUUUGAAAUAUAUGUAAGGUACAAUCUUAUAGUUGAUGCCGUGAAAAAAAAAUUCAAUCAUUUUUUACUUAUCGAGAUGUGGAAGAAUGACGUGAGACAUUAUGUCACUUAUGUUUGGAUGAUGUCGUUUUGGUGGAAUAAUGAUCGUUUUGUUUUGGGAUAUUAGUCAUUGAAUCAUACUGUGCAAUUUCAAAGCAAUCUCUCCCUCCCCCAAUCAAAUCUGUGUAAAAAGCUAUCCAACGGUUCACGACGAGAAGGAAGAGCAAUCAUUCUUUCGCGCGAAAGAUACAACCCACCUCCUACCUCACUCCUGCGGGAUGCUGUCCCAUCCCUCUCUCUAGAUAAAGGCUACCUCACUCUCUCCCAGGCCAACCAAAACCGGCGAUCCUAAAAGAGAGAGAGAGAGGGGGAAGAAGAGAGAGUAUAGAGGAGAAAUCAAUGGCGACGGCGGAGAAGGGGGUGGUGCUGCUGGACUUAUGGGUAAGUAUGUUCGGGCAGCGAUGCCGGAUCGCGCUGGCGGAGAAAGGGGUGGAGUACGAGUUCCGGGAGGAGAAUAUUCCCGAGCAUAAGAGCCCGCUCCUGCUGAAGAUGAACCCCAUCCACAAGAAGAUCCCGGUGCUCAUCCACGACGGCAAGCCCGUCUGUGAGUCCCUCAUCAUCGUCCAGUACAUCGACGAGGUCUGGACCAACAACCCCCUCCUCCCCUC